CAAAAAGUAGAUUAAACAAACCCCCUAACUUACAAUUAGGCCAUAUUAGUAACCAACCUAAUCUUUUUGU
rnacentral:tRNA from 1 species